rnacentral:rRNA from 1 species
UAUGCUUAACACAUGCAAGUCGAACGGACUAAUUGGGGCUUGCUCCAAUCAGUUAGUGGCAGACGGGUGAGUAACACGUGGGAAUCUACCCAUCAGUACGGAAUAACUUUUAGAAAUAAAAGCUAAUACCGUAUAUUCUCUACGGAAAAAAGAUUUAUCGCUGAUGGAUGAGCCCGCGCCAGAUUAGGUAGUUGGUGAGGUAACGGCUCACCAAGCCGACGAUCUGUAGCUGGUCUGAGAGGAUGAUCAGCCACACUGGGACUGAGACACGGCCCAGACUCCUACGGGAGGCAGCAGUGGGGAAUAUUGGACAAUGGGCGAAAGCCUGAUCCAG